AGCGUUGUAACACAAACUUCCAACCAUCGGUUUGUUUGUUCAGUGGACUUUUCGUAAAGGUGCCUAUAACUUUCCUAGUGUACUGCUUUUUCAGGGGGCGCAGCGAGGCGUCCCCGCCGAGCCCGCCUCUGGUUCGGCGCUGAAGGCGGCGGGGGAGGGGAGGAGGGGAGGAGGCGGCGGCGGCCGUGCGCAGCGGCCCGUUUCGGGGCCACCACCGACCGCCGCCGCCCGGGAGCGAGGACGUGCGCCGCCAACCAGAACACGCACUGGAGCCACCACGCACGCGUCGCCGCAGCGCGCGCCGCGGCACGAGGCCGCCGCGAGGCCGAACACGUCGCCGGAGAACCAGCAGGCCACGAGCCGCCAACCAGCAGUGCACCGGGACACGGGGGGACCAACGACCCACCCGGCCGCAGCCCGCGGGGACGCGCCGCGCCCACCACCUAGACCCGCCAACGCGAGGGGCCCGAGCAGGGCCACACACGGCAGCAGAACCGCUCCGGCGCCGCACGCCCCGGCCUAGGCCGUCCGGGGACGGGCCUAGACAACCCACCGCGAUGAGGGGCCACACCACGACCGGCCGCAACAAGGCACGAGGUGGCAACCGACGGGGAAGGAGGCGGAUAGCAGGAUAACGCCAACGUGUCCAGCCGUUUUAGGAACCGGACGUCUACCGUCGGUACCUACGCCGAACGAGAGGUGCGCCCCCCGUCGGCACCCGCCCAACCUUCCCGGGGGAACAGGGCGACAGUCGCAACUACCCACGACAAGCAGCUCAACCGCUCGAGGUACCGAAACGACACCGCCGGUACCUACGCCAAGGAGAGUGGGCCCUCCCGGCACCGAACCCCCAACCGGCAGAAGGGAACAGAAGCAGUGAAGAAGUCACAAGAAUAACAAGCACGAGUCCACGGGGGAAGUACACAGAGACGACACCGCUACGGAUACACUGAUGUGCCCACCGUGUGUCCACAACACCGCAGCAGAGCCGAGUGCACUACGGGAAGCCGGAACAGCCACCGUGUGUCCACAGCACCACAGCAGAGCCGAGCACACAGGAAAGCUAACGUAGGGUGCCGUGUCCACCACAGCGCCGCAACACAUGAGAGCCUACGCGCCGCGGAAAACUAACGUAGCUACCAUGUCACGGGACCGAAUCAGAGCCGACAGGUUACCGCAAGCUGAUGAAACCGCCACGAGAACAACACAACAGACAAGAAAAGGAGAAACAAAGAGGGGGCAAAACACACAAUUGGAGGUUCUAGUACCAACAACUAUGAGAGCAAUAGACCCCGUACUAUGUCGGUUUCCGCAGCGGCAGCCGUGAUCUAAACCGCCCUCCCUUGAAAGGCGCGCCGGCAAAGGCGAGGAGGGUGGGAGGAACCGGCGGUGACGGAGCGGCAGUGCGAGAAGCCAGGUAAAGGGGGCGGUAAGAAGCGGCAGUACCUUCGGAGGAUCGGCGGGGGCAGUGGCACCUCCAGCGCGUGCGCGUUAGGGGAGACCGCCUAGAGUAGCGGCCGGUACAGUAGGGGCGGCAGCGGGUUCCGUGGUUGCGCGGUCGGGCGUUCGCCGUCCCGUUGCAACAGCACGUCCCGCUGUUAGAACGACCGGGGCGGCCUUUCCGUGCGCGUGGCCGGCGGCGGCGGCGACGCGCUCGACGGGCCGGCGACCGCCUCUUCCACUCGUUCUAAAGCCCGCACUUCGCCUUCUUCCAGGGAUGCUUUUCCAGCCGCGGAAGCAGGUGAGGUGGGCAGGGCUGCUCUACAAGGGACUGCUACAGCAAGUUGCUGCGAUGAAGGCGGUGUUCGCUCCACAAGCUACUUUACCGGCCUUCGCUGCCAAACCUGUUACGGUGACGGCUUAAGCACUUGAACAACCUGUGGUUGCGGUAGCUGUAGCUAGUUCUAGACAAGCGACUAAUACUAAUGUUACUUUACCUCCUACCACACCUACUAGUGAUACCACUUCUACUUCACCUCCUCCAUCUACUCCCCCAUAUACUCGUUCGCGUACUUUUUUUCACACUCAAGUUUCUUGAUGUACUAGAACCUUCUAGUUUAGAACUAGUCCCGAACCUCACGCCAGUAACCCUGCACUAGUUCGGCUAAACCUCGGCAACCCGUCGAACGAACCUUGUUCAAGUGUUACGAGGAGGUUCACCUUGGCACCCUAGGUUGAUACCGUUUUAACGGGUUGUUUCUAUGUUUCUGUACCUUCGAAGGCUUCCGUUUUUUUAAUUUGAACUCAUAACAACCCUAUACGAGUUUCUCACGCUCUUCACCUUCAACUAACUGUUUCUUAGGGGUGGUUUCUCUCCAAGUGAAUGCUUGUACCUACUUCUACUUCUACUACUACCGGGUUCUUUGAACUUGUUCGGGCUACUACUGUUCUUCUCUUUCCGCUUCUAGUUCUCCCUUGUGCUUCGUAGCUCGAACGCCCUGUUCUAUCUACGGUACCUGCUCCCCAACGUGUUCCGCCGGUAAUUCCUCUCUUCUCGUGCACGGUACAGGUUCUAAGAACGGCUUCUCUUAUACUAGUACUGUAACUUGGCGUUUCUGUACCUGCUGCAGUGGUUUCUUACCGUACGAUACCGUUCCUCUCUAUAGUACUUCUCCUCCUACGAACGAAGCUGGCCACGCACAAUGUCACAGCUGCUACCAAAGAGUAGCCCUAAACCUAAGUUUCGGUAGCUACGUAAGCGCGGGUGGCCACUAAAGCCACGGCCUCAACCUUGUUCACGGUUGCCGCCUAAGCCCCCUCCGCUACUGGAACUACCUCCACCACGCCUCACU
rnacentral:rRNA from 1 species